rnacentral:rRNA from 1 species
GGGAAUCUGCCCCUUGGUUCGGAAUAACAGUUGGAAACGACUGCUAAUACCGGAUGAUGACGUAAGUCCAAAGAUUUAUCGCCGAGGGAUGAGCCCGCGUAGGAUUAGGUAGUUGGUGUGGUAAAGGCGCACCAAGCCGACGAUCCUUAGCUGGUCUGAGAGGAUGAUCAGCCACACUGGGACUGAGACACGGCCCAGACUCCUACGGGAGGCAGCAGUGGGGAAUAUUGGACAAUGGGCGAAAGCCUGAUCCAGCAAUGCCGCGUGAGUGAUGAAGGCCUUAGGGUUGUAAAGCUCUUUUACCCGGGAUGAUAAUGACAGUACCGGGAGAAUAAGCUCCGGCUAACUCCGUGCCAGCAGCCGCGGUAAUACGGAGGGAGCUAGCGUUAUUCGGAAUUACUGGGCGUAAAGCGCACGUAGGCGGCUUUGUAAGUAAGAGGUGAAAGCCCAGAGCUCAACUCUGGAAUUGCCUUUUAGACUGCAUCGCUUGAAUCAUGGAGAGGUCAGUGGAAUUCCGAGU